ACUUCCAGAGCCGGAACGAAAAGUUUUCUGAAAACGUGCGAGAGAUCGCAGACUUUUGGAGAGCUUUUGGCUUGUGGUCGUGAUGUUGUGUUUGCAUUUUUUGAUCUGAAUCUUGCAGAUCAAACUUUUAAUUCCUGAGAUUUACCCUGUCUGUCCAAAGUGAUUUUAUGUAGCACCGCAAAUUGCGGUGCUUUUUUUU
rnacentral:other from 1 species